rnacentral:rRNA from 1 species
CCUACGGGAGGCAGCAGUGAGGAAUAUUGGUCAAUGGCCGGGAGACUGAACCAGCCAAGCCGCGUGAGGGAUGAAGGUACAGAGUAUCGUAAACCUCUUUUGUCAGGGAACAAAGGAGGGGACGCGUCCCAGGAUGAGUGUACCUGAAGAAAAAGCAUCGGCUAACUCCGUGCAAGCAGCCGCGGUAAUACGGAGGAUGCGAGCGUUAUCCGGAUUUAUUGGGUUAAAAGGGUGCGCAGGGGGUAUGUUAAGUCAGCGGUCAAAGCCCGGGGCUCAACCCCGGCCCGCCGUUGAAACUGGCAGUCUCGAGUUGGAGAGAAGUAUGCGGAAUGCGCGGUGUAGCGGUGAAAUGCAUAGAUAUCGCGCAGAACUCCGAUUGCGAAGGCAGCAUGCCGGCUCCACACUGACGCUGAGGCACGAAAGCGUGGGUAUCGAACAGGAUUAGAUACCCUUGUAGUC